AUUGAACGCUGGCGGCAUGCCUAAUACAUGCAAGUUGAACGCAACAAAGACACCAGAGCUUGCUCUACCGUCUUUGUUGAGUAGCGAACGGGUGAGUAACGCGUGGGUAACCUGCCUUAUAGCGGGGGAUAACUAUUGGAAACGAUAGCUAAUACCGCAUAACAAUAGAGAUUGCAUAAUCUUUAUUUGAAAGUACCAACUGGUACACUAUGAGAUGGACCCGCGUUGUAUUAGCUAGUUGGUAGUGUAAUGGACUACCAAGGCGAUGAUACAUAGCCGACCUGGGAGGGUGAUCGGCCACAUUGGGACUGAGACACGGCCCAAACUCCUACGGGAGGCAGCAGUAGGGAAUCUUCGGCAAUGGACGAAAGUCUGACCGAGCAACGCCGCGUGAGUGAAGAAGGUUUUCGGAUCGUAAAACUCUGUUGUUAGAGAAGAAUGUUGAUUAGAGUGGAAAAUUAAUCAAGUGACGGUAUCUAACCAGAAAGGGACGGCUAACUACGUGCCAGCAGCCGCAGUAA
rnacentral:rRNA from 1 species